AUAGCUACUAGAAAAUCUAAAGUUAAACAUGCAGCUCACAUAUUUUUACAUGACAGCACUAGUCUAAACAUUCUUGCAAAUACUUGCGUGAAUGAGUAGGCUUAUGAAAAUUCUAUUUGCCAGAUUUCCUUUGGCUUUGUCCACAGUAAAAUGCCACACUUGUUGGGGUCCAUAUCUGUCCUCCCACAGUCCUACCCCAGAAACCUCCCAUAUUAUUUGAUUAGAGAGCAGAAGCAUCUGCUUGAAGUGAGUACAAAUGUGCUCUUCUGUGAAUACCAAACAGAAAAAUCAUAGGAAGCAGAGGAAGCGGCUGUUCCCACUGUUUAAAAAGACUCACUGAUUCCUUUCUAAUUGGCUUGUGCUUGCUCUGUCUUGCCAGAUCUGUCUCAGUUCCAAUGCAUUUGGGGUCUGUGGCUAUCCUUGAGGACGAUCCAGUCUGCUAAGAGCCAUCACAUUUGGCUAAACUCAGUGACUCUUGGACAAGGCGUAAAUUAUAGGCUUUCAAUCUGAGGCAGAACUACACUGCAAUCCAUAUGGAAGAUGGAAAGGCCCUUGAGGACUUCUAGUAAAAGUUGUCUUCUCAUAAGGCUAGGCAGAAGAACCUACAAGGAUAGAGGAAAUUUUCUUCCUCUCCUUCAGUUGGCGACGAGGUUGGGGGAAAGCUUAACUGGCUGGAUGCUGCUUGCUCUGGGACUACCGCAGCUGUGAGAUCUUGGACCUCUGACAAUUGUUGGCAAGAGGUAAGAGUUCUUACCAUGUCAGUCUCCCAGAUCUAUGCCUGCAGCAUCCAAUGGAAGCAAUAGUGGUGGGUUUUUUCCUUUUCUAAAUUUAGAUUAACAGGAGAAAAUAUUUGUGAAGCUAGCUUCUUGGCCUUAGUGACUAGGAAAUUUGGUAGAGUGUUCUUUGUUUUUAUUGAUCCUUCUCCUCCCAAAGAUUGUCACUGUUUUUCCUUGUCUCUAUCUUUAGUGUCAUUUGUCAUAAAAAGGAAAAACCAUAGGGCAGGACACAGGCAUAGACCCUAUAAGCCUGUUGUUUGGGCCAGCCCCACAGUCUUGCCACAAACUUUGCUGUGGGUUAAUAUGCACAUGAAGUAAAAGAUACUGCUAAGGGACAUCUUGGAAGCAAAAGCUGCAAGAUGGUGAGCAUGGUUGGAGCAUUUAAGAGCCAUUAGGGUGCUCAUCACCUCAAGAAGACUCCCAUGAUAGAAUAAGUUGGUCAUGGAGCAGAUUAGAUGGACACUAUGUCACCUCCUAACCUCAAGACAACUUCCAUGAGAUGAGGUACACUGUAAAAACAAUAUACAGUCCCCAACCCUGUGGUACAUCUCUCUUAGGUAUUAGUUUGGCUCCAAGAGACCUAAGACUUAGCUAAAGCUGUUAUGUGCAUAUAAGGAAAAAAAAGUGGAUGAGGUUUUUCCUUUUGUCUUGCUCUAUCUCUUGAGAGCUGGCUUUGUGAGAAUCUCCUUUCUGAUCUCCACCAUCCAGAGCACGCACACAGCGACAUGCAUCUUGGCCACCAGUCAAAUGGACUGGGGUUCCAAGACACACUGUGUUUGUCUGGCUGUGUUAGCUCUCAGGGAAGUUUGUCAUAAAGGAUCCCAGUCCAUAAGGGGCCUUUGUCUUCUCAACCUUUGUUGCUUGUUAGUGCUGGAAAAAUCCCUGUGGGAGGCUGGAGCACAGCUCCCUCCUUACUGCUGUGCAAUGAAGACCUUUGCUUUCUCAGACUAUUUUGGGGAGUGAAUUUUCUGGAUCUUGUGGGUUUGAGUUGCUAUUAAGAUAAACUUUGUUUGAUUUUCUCCUGUUAUUCUGUCUCACGUCAAUUUAAUUCUAAACCAGCCAGAAAAACUUAAAAGGGCAGAGGAAAAUUUCUUCCUCCCCUACAAUACUCUCUGAGAUUCCUUUUAUGUGUAACGUUUCAUGCAUGUUGGUUGCCAGAGUUGUAUCUGUGAGUAUAAGAUGCCUUUUCCAUGAUUUUAUCCAUGUGUUCCUACAUUGUGGUGUGACAUCCAGAAAAUUAUUCUAGCCAAUAGGAGCUCUGCCUACUGGGUUUUAACCCUUAUUAUUCUUUUAGGACCCCGUGGAGGAAGGGUGGUAGCCUUCAAUAUUCUCUAAUAGUGAAAUCCUUUGAAAACAUGAUAUCUUGUUAAAAGCUCAGUUUUUCUCCUUUCCUUCCCUUGGACUCCUCCUGUUCCUUCUUCUUCUUUCCCUUUUUCCUUGCUAAUAUGCAUUUAGGGUCUAAUAUAUAUAAGCUAUAAAAAUUUAAAUGAAAUGUCCUUUAAAAUGUUUCAUGGAAGACAGAUAGUUACCAGGAAGUGAAUUCGCAGAAAAUGAAAUCAGGACUUAUACACACUUUGCUACUGAAAAUUUGAUUUAAAAAUGUAAUGAUUAGGUUAAAAAGGUAGCAGUAUGACUGGACUUGCUUUUCAAAAACACAGCUGCUAAUUAAUGAUCACCUUUCCUGAAAUUUCAUCCUAGGGCUUUCUUCUAACCUAUUGAUUUCUAUUAUCAAUGAAAUGCAAGUGGUAUCAGAACGCUGGUCUCAUAUUCCACCAAAGCUGAUCAAGUGUAUUUAUUUUUUAGUUUAUUUGGGCACCAGAUACCCAAGGGAGAAUGGAGACGGGCACCCCACUGGAAAGAUGGGAGAAAGCACGUAACAGGAGUCCCCGAAAUUGAUGGAAAUCUUUGCCUAUUUCAAAAUUUACUUUAAAGGCUAAAUUGUGCAGUCAGGGAAAGGCAGGUUUUAGUUUGGGAGAGGGAGGUUGAAGGCAGAUGUCUGUGCUCUCUCCUGUCUCUUUCAAAUGACUGCACGUGUGUUGCCUCUAAACCCGGCAGACUCAAAUGCUUGGAUGAGCUACUAAGUAGAAAUAAAAAUGAUAAUUCUCUUUUAUUUCUUCUUUUGCUAUGCAGUCAUAAUAGGUGGAUUUUCAUUAAACAUGGGAAGAUAAAAAAUGGGAAAUGCACUUUCCCUGAACUCUCUCAAUGUUCUAUAAAAUGUUCAAUUAACUGUACUUGCCACUGUCCAUAUUUCUUUCCGUACUCUCUAGAUUGCGUGAGGCCUCUCUAGUGUCUCAGUUAACAUUAAAAAGAGAGUCAAUUUAUUAUUUUUUACUGAACUCAGAAUAGCUGGGUGAAUAAAUACUGCUAUGAAUCAUUUCUUUUGCUUCAUGACCUGUUGUUUAAACUUUUGAGGAACCAUAACACAGUAGGAACUAAAACUAUCUUAGAAGAAAAGUCAGCUAGAAGAUAAUAGGAAUAAAACUUGAUUUUCCCCAUUUCUUUGUGUACCAUAUCCAGCCACCACCUUUACCCUGGGCUAUCAAGCCAUGUGACCGCCAAGUAAGUAAUUCCAUUUCUCAUACCACAUACACAAUUAAUAAUAAUAAAGAUUACAAAGGAGGAUGAAGAGUCGGUUGAGAAUCUGAGGCAUUACACAUAGAGGAAUUUGGGUAGGAAUUCCAGCUCUGUAAUGUAAUAGCUGUGUGACCUGUGGAAAGUUAUUUACUCUUUCUGAGCACUAGUCUCCUCAUUUGUAAAAUGGAGAUAAUAGUACUUAACUGGCAGGUUAUUGUAAGGAUUGAGACACUGAAUGGAAAACAUCAAGAAUAGUCAGGGAUGCGUGGUGACAGCUCAAUAGCUCCAGAGUGCUAUUAUCAAUGGAAAUGAAGCAAGAGGCUUUUUGUCAUUGUUACAAUCAAGGGACUAUCUUGCCACAAAAGAGCAAAGUUCAAACGGUGACUUGUCUUUUUAUUUCAGAAAAUGUGAGUCUAGCUCUGUUGGUUUUUAUCUAGGGAAGGGCGUGUGUGUGUGUGUGUGUGUGUGUAUGUUGUGUAUGUGUGGUUGCAUGUGUGUGUGUGAGAGAGAGAGGGAGAAGAGAGAGAGAGAAUAUCCUGGCACAGUGGGUGGUGAUGUUCCUUCUUGGGUGUAUUUAUAUCGAUUGCUUUAAAACGUUAUUUAGUGGCAAUGUAUAGGAAAGAGCAAUUGACUUGGAAUAAGAAAACUUAGGUUGAUGUCUCAGCACUGCCAAAUAUUGAUUGUACUAAAUGCUUGAUUCAUGUACGUGCCCAAGAAAUGUUUAUUAGGUUUAAAGACAAAUGAGUUGUUAGUCCCUGAAUAUUGGAGUUGGAUAUAAUUUCAGUAGGCUGCACUAUUUACUUCUUUUAAAGAUCUUGAAAGAGUGAUGAGAACUUGAAAGCAAACUUGGGUUGAGUAACUGUCCACGUCUGUGGAACAGGUUGAAGCUGCUAGAAAUGGCACAUCGUCCAAAAUGUUUUCUUUGCUGACCUGGAGUCACUAACAGGGAUUUCAUUAUUACUGAAUAAUUUGUCUACAUCAGUGAUUUUCAAACUUUUUGCUCUCAGACACAUUUAUACUUUUAAAAAUGACUGGGCACCCCAGAGAGCUCUGGUUUAUGUGAGUUAUAUCUGGUUAAUUGUUUCUUUCAGCUAUCUUCUUUUAAAUUCAAAGGCUCCUGGAAAGGAUACUACACUUAUUUAAAUUCUUAAGUUCUGAGUGAGAGAGAGGGAAAGAAUGAGAGCAACGUAGACUUGAAGGGAAUGUGGCCUUGAAAAAAGUGGGAAAUCAGGGCAAUGAGUCCUCGUAUCAGUUCCGUUUUGCAGUUUGGAAAUUGGCUCCAUCACUUAACUGUGGCUUAAAUUUGGACAAUUAACCAAUUCAGCAGUUCUCAAAGUGUCAGCUAGGAACCCCUGAGAGUCCCUGAGACCUUUUCAGGAGACCUAUGAGGUCAAGAUGUAUGUCAUAACAAAUCUAAGAUAUUCAUUGCUUUUUUCACUCUCAUUAUUUUACAAGCAUAUGACAGAGUUUCCAGAAGCCACACGAUAGGUGUUGUCUCCACAGACUGAAGGCAGAGACAGACAAGAGAAUCCCGCAGUCUUCUAUUAAACCAGACACUAAUCAGAUCUGCAAAAAUGAGGAGGGAGGGAUGCCACUGUUCUCAUUAAUUAAUUAUUUUGUUUUUUAGUUUAGGAAAAUGUAGUUCAUUUCAUGAUAAUGUCAUUUAUGUUAACAUGCAAUGGUCUUAUUAUAAUAUUUUAAAAUUUCUUCUUUUAAAUUUUAAUACAGCAAUAUCAACAGAUAUAACUCAC